rnacentral:lncRNA from 1 species
CCAGAUUGUACAGGAGAUGAGUUGAGUUCAGUAUUAUAAAUACUCUUGUAGCCGUGGACAUGGUAUGUGAGCUUAUGAUUUACUAGUCCUGUGUUUACCACUGUGUUCCUUAGGCGGACACACUCACCGGCAGCAGACCUUCCAAGAACUAUGACUAAAAACUCUGUUGGAGAUUCUCAAGCUGACCGGUAUGACUUCAUGGAGAUUCUCAAGCUGACCGGUAUGACUUCAUGGAGAUUCUCAAGCUGAGCGGUAUGACUUCAUGGAGAUGCUCAAGACACACUCUCCCUACAUCCCCUCUGAUGGCCUGACCUUUGACCCCCUUGGUGGACCUCAUCAACGUCAUUGUCGGGGACCUCCCCGACGUCUGCAUACUGCUGGGACCCUUUGUGGACUCCAAACAUGAGCAGAUAGAGAAGUUUCUGUUGACCGAGACGUUUGAUGCCAUCUUCUCCAGAUGUGUAGGGAGCAUCGUGAAAGGCACCGAGGGUAAAUAUGACUUGAUAUUAACCUAUCCACCACACACACUGCCUCAUUUUACACCCUACAUACCAACCACAUUAGCUCAAAUGCUUCCCUUGCUGUUGUAAAUA